rnacentral:rRNA from 1 species
GAUGAACGCUAGCUACAGGCUUAACACAUGCAAGUCGAGGGGCAGCAUGGUCUUAGCUCGCUAAGACCGAUGGCGACCGGCGCACGGGUGAGUAACGCGUAUCCAACCUUCCGCAUACUCGGGAAUAGCCUUUCGAAAGAAAGAUUAAUGCCCGAUGGUUUCCCGAAUCCGCAUGAGAACGGGAAUAAAGAUUCAUCGGUAUGCGAUGGGGAUGCGUCCCAUUAGCUUGUUGGCGGGGUAACGGCCCACCAAGGCGACGAUGGGUAGGGGUUCUGAGAGGAAGGUCCCCCACAUUGGAACUGAGACACGGUCCAAACUCCUACGGGAGGCAGCAGUGAGGAAUAUUGGUCAAUGGGCGAGAGCCUGAACCAGCCAAGUAGCGUGAGGGAUGACCGCCCUACGGGUCGUAAACCUCUUUUAUAAGGGAAUAAAGAUAAGUACGCGUACUUAGUUGCAUGUACCUUAUGAAUAAGCAUCGGCUAACUCCGUGCCAGCCGCCGCCGUAAGAC